rnacentral:rRNA from 2 species
ACAUACGACCAUAGGUAGUGGAGAAUUUCGGAUCCCGUCCGCUCUCCGGUAAACAAGCCACUAACCGGCAGAUUAGUAGUUGGGUCGGUGACGACCAGCGAACACCGGCUGUUGUAUGUU